GGAGAUGAGAGGAGGAGAAGGAACUGGGAAAGGACCAUCUAAAUGAGACUGGAAGGCCAACCUUAGAGGAACCUGUUGUUUCUCCUCCAAGAGAUUGUUCUGUGUCUAGAGAAGCACGUGUUCUGAUUUAAUUAGAAACCGGUGGGGCACUGGGCCGGCUGGCUGGCUGCUCUGGCCGCCCUGGAAGCCGGAGGGCUGAGUGGAGGCCAGGGAGUCUGAGCAUAUCUUUGGGGCUUUCGUGAGGUGGUGGAAUGGAGAGGAAGGCAGACAGUUCUUGAAUUCCCUUCCUCUGAAGCAGAGGCAGUAGCUUCUGUGUCUUCUCCCUCUACAGCUGGAGUCUCCUGCUUUUAUACCUCCUGCUCCAUCGUGUCCUAACCAGGGCUUACAGACUUCUCUCCCCCGUGGGAUGCGGAUCCUGCGAUGCCAAUGACCAGAGCUUCCCUUGUUUGUAGAGCCAGCAUCUGGCGCUGUAUCUGCACAGAUUAAUUCAGAGAGACGGCUCUAAGCGGCAUUCCUUCAGUUGUGCUAGUUCCGGAGUUGGGAAGAACCUGUUCAACUCACAAGCUGGACAGGCCUUUCUCUUGGACCUGAAAGAUUUAUGACCCGAUCAUCCAGAAGCCCCACCACAAAAACCUCAUUGAGCUGGUUACAUGUUAUCUUCCGAAUAUCAGCUCAGAUGAAAAGGACCGUCUGGCCCACUGACAACCAUCCAUUGGCUUCUGCACAGUGUAUUAUUGUCCAACGCUUCCUCGGGAGCUAUAAUUAGGUGAUGGUGUAAGGAGGCCACGGUGCGCGUUUGAAUAGCGACUCUAUUUGGGUCAUGAUGUCACUCACUCACUCGGGUCCCUUCUCAUCAUAUGGCCUUCACCAGAGUGUGGUUGGAAUUCAGCACACAUGAAAUCAGACCUUCACUGAGUUUUUCAUGAAGUAAUGAUAGCUCUUGGGAUGAAGAGCCUUUACAUAUCUGAAAUAAUUAUGACUUAAGAGUUGAAGUUCUGGGACCCCACUUUCUAGCUCUUUAAUCUGGACAAGCCUCUUAGAGACUUCCUUUGUUCAUCUGCUAAUUAGGGUUCACGGUACUAGUAACUUCUAUGGGCUAUAACAUAUGGUGUAUAUAUUACUUGCCUUUCCCCCAUCAUACCCAAUCAAUGACUACGUCCUGAAUGUUCCCCCUCUGAAGUAUUAAUAUCUCUCAACUCUUUCCAUGGUUCUCUGUCACCAUCCCAGGCCCAGCCACUGUCCACUCUGGCUUAGAUCAUUGCACUAGCCUCUUCACUGCACCCACUCUUAUGUUCCUCUAAUAGACAGGCUGCUUCCACAAUCAUCUUGUGGGUCAAUCUCCUGGAACACAGCCUCCAGCUUCAAACCUUCCAGUGGUUUGAUCUAAGCCGUUCUCUGAGGCUGAAGCCCCAGUUCCUCAUCUUGAUGGUCUGUCCUUGUCUGUAUCGCAAAGCUCAGGUCCUACCACGGGUCUCCCCCACUCCCACCACCGCAUCAGCAUUCCAGCCAAAUCAGCUUAUUUUCAGCCACUCAAAUACCUCAAGAACUCUCCUCUUUAAAAGCCCUCUGUACCGGUUGUUCCUUCUGCUUAGCACAUUCUCUACCCGUUCUCCACCACUUCCCUGCCUUGCCAAUUCCAGAUGCUCCUUUGAGAACCAGUUGGAAAUGCUGCUUCCUCGGGAAAUCCUCCUGAGAUGUCCCCCGCCACCUCCACCAUUAUUAUAAUCUCCUGAUAAACAGGCAUGCUCUACUUCCCAGCAUAUGUCACAACUCCAAUUAAAUAAUUACCUGGAAAGCAUUUGUUUAAAGCUUAUCUUCCUCUCUGGACUCUUUCUAAAACGUGGUUUCAUUUCUAGUAUACUAAGCGGCACAUAACGUUCACUCAUAAAACAUUGUGGAGGGAUGAAACUUGUUAUUCCUCUCAGCACUCAAUCCUGCCAUUUUUUGCGGUUGAAUAUCCUUGGGUCACCUUUGCUAGUUAAUCUCCAGCCUCCUCUUGGUUGAGGAUAGAAGGCUCUGUGUGAAGGAACCCCAUCUCUAGGUUUUCCUGGCCACCGAGGGCUGGGUGGAGAGCACGGUAGGAGUUAGAAGAGAGUCACUAGGCUGCUGAGUGUUACAGCUAGAAAGACACUUAGGGUUCAGUGAACCCCUUGGCCACAUUUUAAAGAUGGGGAAACUGAGGCCAAGAGAAAUUGAAAGUUAUGCUCAAGAGUAGAGCUAAGGAAUGGAUUCAGUGACCCUAAAAUAUUCUUUUCUCAGGCAUUAACACACACAUAGAAAACAUUUAUACACAGUUUGUAGAGCAUUUUCUAUUUCAUUACUGUUGCUCUAUUGAUCUUUAGAGCAGCCUUGAGAAGAAGGUAGGGCAAUCGUUCAUCCUCGUUAUACAGACGAGGAAAUAAGAACAGGGUGUCUGGUGACUUAUGCCCACAUCCAAGGUCAACCCAACUUACAAGUGCAAAAGCCUGAGUCCCCGAGCUUCAGGUUCUAGGGUGCAUGUUUUUUCCCACCACAUUGCUCUGUUUUUCUUACAAAUAAAUACUUGUGUGUGUGCUUAGGUGCUCAGUUGUGUCUGACUCUGCAACCCCAUGGACUGUAGCCUACCAGGCUCCUCUGUCAACAGAAUUUUCAAGGCAAGAAUACUGAACUAGGUUGCCAUGCCCUCCUCCAGGGAAUCUUCCUGACCCAGGGAUUGAACCCGCCUCUCUUGCAUCUGCUGCAUUGGCAGGCAGAUUCUUUACCACUAGCGCCACCUGGGAAGCCCCCAAACAAAUACUUGGGCAACUCCAUUUCUGGUAAGAAAUGCAUCAGCCAGAGUCUCAGAUGGGAGCAGAGAGAAGUUCUGUUUCAUUCUCUUCCUUGCUCACUUAAUGGCUGUGAUGUCUGUGACUCAGGCUUCCCUCUGUCAGGUGACACAGGAUAAAGUCAGAGGAGGUGAUGGGGUGGGUGUAGGUGCUAAGCAGUCAAGGCUAAGCCCUCGCUCUGCUACUCACAGCUGGGGACCCUAACCAGCUCAUCAGGAGCCGCUCUGAGCCUUAGGUGUCCAGCUGUAAAACAUAGGUACUUGUUGCCUCUCUCUAGCAUUGUUCAGGAUUAAAUGAGAUAGUGCUUAAAAGACACAGAGAAAACAGAAGGCACUGCUUAAGCACUAUUUAUCCUAACACCCUGGCAGCCUGCAGCAACAGAGUUGAGAAAAAAAUGUCAGAAAAGGUCAGCCUUUGGGUCAGAGAGGUGUAAGGAGUUCUCAGGAGGGCACCAUGAACCCUGAGGUGUGGUUGAAAGGGGAGGUUUGCAGCUGAUGCAGACUGUAUUUUAGCCGCAGUCUCUUCGGCUGCCUCCUGAUUUCAUCAGUCUCCGUGUGUCCUGACUGCUGCUUCCGUGCCUUGCUUGCAGUGAGUGGGGGUGGAGUUGGGGGACUCAC
ensembl:lncRNA